GUUACUGGUGUACUUGACUGUAGAGGAUAGGAAUCUAUAUGUACAAAAGGAUAGUGGGCAGGGGUCUGCGAAGAGAGGGGUUGUGAGGGAGAAAAGAGCCCCUUCAGGAGAAGGAGGCUGCUGUUGUGUGAAUUAGAUGAGGAAACAAGAACAAGAUCUGUUAACUCAGGAAGGGGGGGAGGGGAAGAAAGAGGGGAAGAGAGAUUGGAGGAAAGAGAAAGAGAGAAAAAGAAGGGAGGGGAAGAGAAGAAAGGGCAAGGGACGGGCCAGAGCCUGUCAGUGGCCUAAGGGGAACAGGUGGCCAUGGCGGCACCUAUUGGCAGCAAGGAAGGGCCUAGUCAGCCACUGCUGCUGUUUGGGGCUACCGAGGCCACUGGCGGAGGGAGGCAGGCGGGCAAGGGACGGGCCCAGGCCUGUCAGCGGCCUGAGGGGUACGAGCAGCCAUGGCGGUGGCAGCAGCGAGGAAGGGCCUGGUCAACUGCUGCUGCUGCUCCUCCUGUGAGAAGGAGGAGGAGCAGGGCUUGCGUAAGGGUGGGGAGAUCUCUUGGGAUAGGAGGCUGCAGCCUGGCCAACAGGCGCCAGCAAAGCUGCAGCCACGACCAAGAGGAGUGAGGGGGAUGGAAGCAACCAGAUGAAGGAGGAGCAGGAGUGCGGUUCAGGUGAGGGUGGAGACAUCUCUGAGGUAAGGGGGUCUGUGGCAGGGGGUGAGGCGAACAAUCAAGUACUAGCACACAGAUGCUCUGUGUGGGUUAAGCUAGUUUGUUUUAUUUUAUUUAACAUAUCUUUCUAUACCAUGCAAUACUAAUGUCUCUGGGCGGUUCACAAUAUUCUGAGAGUCCACAUUAUGUGAUGGAUCCCCUGCCUGGUGUUCUACUGGCAUAGGCCUAGGAUUCUCUGAUUUGUACAGCCCUUCCACAAGGAGUUCCUAUUUUGGGUAGGGCAGAUGAAAGUAAAAUGAAAGGAAUGUGGAUGGGGAUGCUGCUCACAUGCAGAAAGCCUGUGACUAAUCAUUUCCAAGAGAAAGGAGAAAAGGUCUAAUUCAGCUCAUGGGUAUACAAUGGGAAACCUACAAAUAAUCAAAAUUCAGACAGUUGUUUGCAAAGUGCUGUUCCGACAUAUGUAUAAUGCAUUUCCUGUGAGGUGGGAGACUAAACUGGGUUAAGAGCAAACAUCUUUGCUUAUAUGUUUUGUGGAGCAUAUUGAAAAUCAUCUAGGGAAAGCUACAAUAAUUUAAGAAUAUAGCCAAGAACUAAAGCUUCUAAGCUAACACUUUAACUUCAGAUAAAGCAAUUAUAAAUCCUUCUAAGCAGCAGAACACACAAUUCUUUUUCAAAUUAGCCCUAAAGUGUUUUAAUUCUCAAGUUUUUCUUUGUUUAUAUUUACAAAUUAUUGUAGCUUCCCCUGGUGCCUGCUGAACUGCUGAUUGAAAAUGAAGAGAAACACAGAAGAAAUAAAGGAACCCACGUACUAAACCAAACAGGAAAAAUAUCUAUAACAGUGGGCCCUUUGUGGGUGCAUCUCAUGUAACAAACAGAGCUGUUCAAAGCUCUAGUCUUGUUGCCAAAAAGGAAAAAAAGUGCUUGUCAUUUUCUCUUUACUUGCCACUAAUGCAUGUGUCAGACUUACACGAACAGAAAAGGAAGAGUGUAUCUUAAAAUGCUGCAAACUGAACAUAUUUUCUUUCUUAUAGUUUUGCCCAAUACAAGAAGUAUACAUUUUCUUGUAACUUUUAGAGGUGUACACCUCUGUAUUCUGACCAACUCUGGAAUGCUGGGCUUGGGAGGUGACUUCAUGCUCAUCUCCUUCACAACUAGUGAGCUGAAAUUGGGUAACCAAUAAGAAAUAAGGUUAGCUGCUUUGAGCUUGAGAAGAAUCCGACACCUUCAUUAUCUCAUAAUACACAGCAGUGUUACACACACUUGCAAACACACACAAAAGAGCCCCAUGAACUUUAAUGGGCUAGAUACCUCCAUCAGAUGCAUGAAACAUCACCCUCAGUCUCUCUCCAUGAUCACAAAGGACAUGUUGCUGUUGACAACUCUGCAUGAUGUUAACUACAAACAAAAUGAAGCAAAAACACUAUAAAGCUGCACUCUUUGGAUUGUGACAUAAAGGAUUGUGAUUAUAAGGGGCACUCUUUUACUGUAAACCUCUUCCCCCCCGUUUGUACCCCACAUUUUGACCUACUGGGCCCCUAAAUGGCUAAGAAUAUGCCAAUCAGUAAAACUCAGUGGAUGACAUCUAGACUAAAGCAGUGGCAGUAUGCCUGGAAGAUGUGCCUGUAUUACAGAAGGCGUCCAGCAUAGACCAUGCAGGGUGUGUGGAUGAUUUUGCCCCUGCUGUGGGACAUAUUUUUGGAGGGCUCUGGGCAUUUCUAGGGGAAACACAGAUUGGUGAAAAUCAGCUCCCACCCUGUGCACUCCAUGUGGCCGGCAGAGCUAAGGAAGGUCUCCACAGUACAAGCACAUCUUCCUGGUGCACUACUGCUGCCUCAGUCCGAAUACUAACCAAUGUAAAUCAAAACAAUAAUUAAAACCAGAAGUGAUGGUAGAAAUCCAAGUGAGUGCUUACCACUCCAGUCUGGCUUCUGUCAGGCUCAAAUGUAUGAAUGUUUGCUUUUACAUUUGCCUUAUGUAUUCAUUCUCUACAAAGAUGGCAGGUGUUGGAAUUGUCAGGAUGUAUUGACUGUGAGGUGUUGUGUGUACAGCUUUAAAUGCAAAGUGCAAGUCACUGUGUUACAGCAGGGGGGUAACUGGCAACAUGUGAAGCCUGUUAACAAGUAAGAGGCCCUGAGUGAUGGCCUGUGGUGAUUGGUCACUACUAGUAUAAGAGUAAAACUCAAACCAGAGCAACUUGUCCACAGUGGUAAAUGCUGCACCACUGUGGUCUACCCGGCUGCUGUAGUAUAUGUGCCUUAUGUUGUGUAGCUGGACUUACUGAGACAAUACAUCAUGUAAGUGUCCUCAACUUCAAUAUAUUCUUUUGUUGAACUUUUA